AAAACUAUCGAAUGUGCAGUGAGACGUCCGAGAGCCGCUGAUUCCCUGUGCGUCGCGCACGGAUUAUCAGCGCCGCGGGCGGUUUGUUCUCGGACUCCCUUCUGUCGUUGUUUAUAGUUUCUUUAAAUUAUGGUCUCUUCAGAAAAUGCGUGUGCCGGUUCACAUGAAAUUCGGUGAACUGUUCAGAUGAAAACGAUAAAUUACUACACCCAUGUUAUUACCUGGCCAACCACACUCGAGCAGGCCUUCCCUCUGCGGGACCCUCUGUACGUGCACUGGAAUGCUAUUCAGCCCUGAAGAAGAGAUUCUGAUCACUGAUCACCACGGCAACCUGGACAGACCUGGAAGGACACUGUGUGAGCCAGACACCAAAGGACAAGUACUGCGUGACUUGAUUUACAUGCGGGGCCUAGUUAAAUUUGUAGAGGCCGAAGGACAGUUCCCCAGGGGGCUGUGGAUGUUGGGGGCAGUUGUUCAGCGAGCACAGGGGUUCCACCUGGGAGGGUGGAAAAGCUUGAGAUGGAUGGCGAAGGCCACACGACCUUGUGAUUGUGCGGAGUGCAUGUUCACACACUGCACUACACACUGAGGAACAGUUACAGCAGUGACAGGUGUGUGGUUUACCACAAUAAAAACAGUUGGUGUGUGUGCACCCCAGUAGCAGUGAGCACAGCCAAGCACCCAGACCUUGGUUUCCAGUGUCCUCCGAUAGAGGUGACCUGUGCUCCUUGCAGAAGUGGCUGAUUCUAAGACUGGGCCAAGGGAAGCAGGAGAGGAGCUUGGAGCAAAGCAACCCAUAGUGCUGGAACUCAGAGAAGUGCUGAGAACAAAUGAACCCAACAAUGACAAUGACCGUGGAGUCCGGGCGCGCAGGACUAACUGAGGGCUCUCCGGGACCGAAGCAAAACAGCUUGCGCAGCAGCAUAGUGUUAGAUUAUAAUCCAAAAUAUGAAAUAAACCGGGUAGAAGAGACAAACCUGCAAUGCAGAAUUCCAAAUCAUUUGUGCGGCCAACCCCUCUGCCGAGGUGGAGUGCAAUCCUCCACCCCUUACGUGUGGCCCAGGCAAGAGAAAGAAGGAUCAUGAUUACCUGCCAACAGACGGUGGAAUUGUAGGAGGUCCAAGAGCGGUCAUCCUAAUGGGUGCGAGGAGAGACCUCACCGUGGCUUCAACUCUCGUCUCCCUGAGGAUCAGUGAGACUGAACGUCUUCUCCUGUGCUCGUUGACCGCUCGUACAUCUUCUCUGAGGGAAUGUCUAGUUAGGCUCUUUCUCAUUAUUUUUUAUUUUUUAAUAAUGGGUUAUUAAAGCAUAAUUCACAUACCAUAUAACUCACCCAUUUAUUUUUUUUUAAAGAUUUUAUUUAUUUUUAGAGGGGAAGGGAAGGAGAGAGGGAGAGAAAUAUCAAUGUGUGGUUGCCUCUCGCAUCCCCCAUUGGGAACUGGCCUGCAACCCAGGCAUGUGCCCUGACUGGGCAUCGAACCCCAAUUCGAUGCGUGGUUCGCAAGCCCGCGCUCAAUCCACUGAGCUACACCAGCCAGGUCCAUAACUCACCCAUUUAAAGUGUACAAUUCAAAGAUUUUUUGACGGGAGGUGGGUGGGAGUGAAAGAGGGUAAAGAGGAUAAGUAGUAAUAGAAAAUAUACAAUAAAAAUUUAAAUUUUUGAAAGGAUUUUUGGUAUAUUUACAGACUUAUCACCAUGAUCAAUUUUAGAACCUAUUUACUACCCCA